rnacentral:rRNA from 1 species
GACGAACGCCGGAGGCGUGCUUAACACAUGCAAGUCGAACGCUGAAAUGGAGCUUGCUCCAUGGAUUAGUGGCGAACGGGUGAGUCACACGUGAAUAACCUGCCCUUAAUUUUGGAAUAAUCCAGGGAAACCUGGGCUAAUACCGGAUAAGUAAACCUGUGGCAUCACAUGGUUUUGGAAAGUUUUUCGAUUAAGGAUGGAUUCGCGGCCUAUCAGCUUGUUGGUGAGGUGAUGGCUCACCAAGGCGACGACGGGUAGCCGGCCUGAGAGGGUGAACGGCGACGCGGGGACUGAGACACGGCCAAGACUCCUGCGGGAGGCAGCAGUGGGGAAUAGUACGCAAUGGACGAGAGUCUGACGCAGCGACGCCACGUGGGGGACGAAGGUCUUCGGAUUGUAAACCUCUUUCAGCAGUGACGAAGCGAAAAUGACGGUACCUGCAGGAGAAUCUCCGGCGAACUAUGUGCCAGCAGCCGCCGUAA